CAUGAUCCGCAUGCCGCGUGAGUGAGAAGGCCUUAGGGUUGUAAAGCUCUUUUUUUGGGGUGAAAUGGACCUCGCUGUACAAUUGGCUCCGGCUGGUACCGUGCCAAUAACCACCGGAUAACUACGGGCCCUCACCCGCGGUAAUAUUUCUGGGGCUAAAGUUAAUCUGAGUUACUGGGCAUAAAGGGGGUGAAAGCCGGGGUGUCAACCCGGGGUGUGCCCCCCGGGCUGAACCUGGGAAUUGCUGUAGAGACUGGUGGGAUUCCGAGUGUAAAAGGGAAAUGGAAUUACAUUCGUAACAACGAAAUGGGUAAAUGUGCCUAGGAACACCAAUGGUGAAGGUAACCCCCUGGAACGUGGGUGACACUCAGGAUCAAAAACCUGGGUAGCCAACACGAUAAAAUACCCUGGUAAUCCACCCCCUAAACUAUGUCAACUGGCUGUUGGGUAUCGAAUUACUUGAUCCCCUAGCUAACGCCGGAAGUUGACCGCCUGGUGAUAGAGUUGACAGAUU
rnacentral:rRNA from 1 species